rnacentral:rRNA from 1 species
UACGAAGGGGGCUAGCGUUGCCUCGGAAUCACUGGGCGUAAAGGGUGCGUAGGCGGGUCUUUAAGUCAGGGGUGAAAUCCUGGAGCUCAACUCCAGAACUGCCUUUGAUACUGAAGAUCUUGAGUUCGGGAGAGGUGAGUGGAACUGCGAGUGUAGAGGUGAAAUUCGUAGAUAUUCGCAAGAACACCAGUGGCGAAGGCGGCUCACUGGCCCGAUACUGACGCUGAGGAGCGAAAGCGUGGGAGCGAACAGG